CAUUCGAACGCACAUUGCAGCCAUUGGAUAUCCAUUGGCUUUGUUUGUCUGAGCGUCGUUAUCAUAAGCAAAAGAUAAAAAAUCUGUUUCGUGAAUGCUGUAUGAUUCUCGUCAGAUUCAAUCCGUAACAUUAAAUGCUGACUCGUGGAGCGUAUGGCACGUUAUGGUGGUACGUUCCAAAGAGUAUUUUGGCGUCUCCAGCUAAAAUAUUCUAGUGCUUCCAGUGCGUCCAUACUUAUAUUAAACGCUAAACGAAGUUCAGUUUGUUAUUGAAAGCAUACAUUGCUAAGUGAAGUCCUUUGUCGACCUCAGAUCAAGCAAGAUUACCCGCUGAAUUUAAG
rnacentral:rRNA from 1 species